rnacentral:lncRNA from 1 species
AAGUUAGUAAUUAUGAUAGAGUCACAAAAGCACGUAAUGGUAAAAGGUGUUAGGCACCCCUCAAGAUCUACCAGUGUGGUUUCCGACCGUACUUAGUUGUGACUUUAAGAAGAGUAGAAAUAAGAGAUAAUACAUAUGGAGACACCUAAAGUAGGCAAGAUCUUUCACUUACACACUCAAACUAGGUGUUUUUCCAGUAAGACACGUUUCUUAAGCAAUUCUCAUACCAAUUAGACACGUUUUUUGUUGGCUUAUUCAUUAUUGUGUAGGGAUUUGCUGCAGCUUUGAAAGAAAUUUUACCGAAUACUGAAUUUAGGAUGUGUGCGAGGCAUAUAUGGUAUAAUUGGCAUAAGAAUUGGAAAGGAGAGAAAAGGAAAAAAUAGUUUUGGAGGUG